rnacentral:rRNA from 1 species
UACGGAGGGUGCAAGCGUUAUCCGGAUUUACUGGGGUUUAAAGGGUGUGUAGGCGGGCUUUUAAGUCAGUGGUGAAAUCUCCGGGCUCAACCCGGAAACUGCCAUUGAUACUAUUAGUCUUGAAUUUUGUUGAGGUAGGCGGAAUAAGUCAUGUAGCGGUGAAAUGCUUAGAUAUGACUUAGAACACCAAUUGCGAAGGCAGCUUGCUAAACAACAUUGACGCUGAGGCACGAAGCGUGGGGAUCAAACAGG